rnacentral:rRNA from 1 species
GUCCGCCUGCCCUGUGACUAUUAGUUUAACGGCCGCGGUAUUUUGACCGUGCGAAGGUAGCGCAAUCACUUGUCUUUUAAAUGGAGACCUGUAUGAAUGGCACAACGAGGGCUUGACUGUCUCCUCUUUCAAGUCAAUGAAAUUGAUCUUCCCGUGCAGAAGCGGGAAUAUAAACAUAAGACGAGAAGACCCUAUGGAGCUUUAGACACCAAAGUAGACCAUGUUAAACAACCCCAGAUAAGGGGCCAAACCAAAUGAAUACUACCCUAAUGUCUUUGGUUGGGGCGACCGCGGGGAAACAAAAAACCCCCACGUGGAAUGGGAACACCCCUCCUACAACUAAGAGCUGCAGCUCUAGUUAACAGAACUUCUGACCAUUAAGAUCCGGCAACGCCGAUCAACGGACCGAGUUACCCUAGGGAUAACAGCGCAAUCCCCUUUUAGAGCCCAUAUCGACAAGGGGGUUUACGACCUCGAUGUUGGAUCAGGACAUCCUAAUGGUGCAGCCGCUAUUAAGGGUUCGUUUGUUCAACGAUUAAAGUCCUACGUGAUCUG